AAUCUCCUCUGAAACAAACAACCGUAGGCCUUGAAGGGAUGUGAACGGUUAGAGAUGGUCCACUCUCCAUCAAGCCUAAAGGCGAUAACCACGAGAAAUUAUAACCCUGCGUAUCUGCGAUUUUGGCCCUUUUAUACGGAGCAGCUGAUAGCCUGAGAGUAGGAUCAGGAUACACACACAGAGGGAGAGGAACUUCCAGCAAGUCUGCAACCAUUGUAUCAUUCCCCUGUUUUUUCUCCCUCUUUUGGUGGUUUUUGUCCUUCACUAGAGUCCCUACGGCUAUAUAUGUCCACACAGCCCUGAGAGACGUCGCAUUUGAGAAUCGAGAGCGAGGUGAAGAGUUCCACAGCGUUCUGCUCGGAUUUGCUGCUGUUUUUACUUGCCAUGGGCUUGGAGGAGGGAGUUCCAAACCUGCACGACUUAAAAGAAAAAGAUCAUCAAACAUUGACCUUAAGUGUGCAUGCUUUUUCUGACUUAACCUAUGUUUCUCCUAUAGUAUUUUUAUACCUCCUGAAAGAAUGUUAUAUUCAUGGCUCAUGUAAGGCAACAAAAAAGUUUAGAGCUCUUCAGCAACAAGUUUAUCAGGCACUAUAUAAUUCUCCCCAACCAGGACCUGCCACUUUCGUUAUUCAAUGCCUGCAUGUCCUGCCCAUUUUUGGAUUAUAUUCUGAAGGGUUCAGUCACUUGAUUGUAUCUGCUAUUCGUCGUUUUCUAAAACUAGCACCAAGCUCAGAAGACACCUUGCAAUCAAAAGUUCUAGCAGCCAAUUUGUUUGUAGAUACUGUGGGAGGCUUAGUUGAUCAUGAUGAGAGGAUAGUUGUCAAGAUACUUGAAGGUUUUGAUGUCAAGUUGAUACACAUUGAGGAAGCAAUGCACCGACUAAAGGCCCAAAAUGAUAAUAGGUUUGACACAGCAAAAACAUUUGUUGAACAAUAUAUUUUUAAGUUGGUAGAAUCUCAGUCAUAUAUGACAGCAGUCACUCUGCUAGAACAUUUCUCUAUCCGCCAGUCUGGGCAGUCUUUCCUUCUCAAAAUGAUUGAGAAUAAAGAACUUAGGGCAGCUGAAAAAUGGGCAACAUUUAUGGGGAAGCCAAUGUUAUGUUUACUUGUUAAGGAGUAUGUUGAUAGGAACAUGCUAAAGCAUGCGUAUGAGAUUAUAAAGAAAAACAAUCUGAAGGAAGAAUUUCCAGAUGUCUACCAUAAAUGCAAAGAAAGAUCAUUGAAGAAUUUAGCAGAAAAGACAUUAUGGGAUCUUGCAGAGGCAAAGACACAUGGUGACAGGCAGCUUCUUGAAUAUUUGGUUUACUUGGCAAUGGAGGCUGGUUACUCAGAGAAGGUUGAUGAACUCUGUGAUCGUUACUCACUUGAAGGUUUUUUGAAAGGCAAAGAAGCAGAACUUGAGGCCUGUCUCCCACAUGAUAGAUACUUGCAACUUGAUGAAUUAGUUGUUGAUGAUCUUGGCUGGGUUGAUGAAGUUGAUCGUCUGUGUGAUGCUACAAGCCACAUUGAGGGCUGUAAAGUUGUGGGUAUUGAUUGUGAAUGGAAGCCCAACUAUGAGAAAGGCAGCAAACCAAACAAGGUUUCUAUCAUGCAAAUUGCUUCUGAGGAGAAAGUUUUCAUCUUUGAUUUGAUAAAGUUAUUUGAAGAUGUACCUGAUGUUUUGGACAACUGUCUAAUUCGGAUUUUGCAGUCUCCUAGAAUUCUAAAACUUGGUUAUAACUUUCAAUGCGAUAUAAAACAGUUAGCUCAUUCAUAUGGAGAAUUGAAGUGCUUCAAGCACUAUGAAAUGUUAUUGGACAUUCAGAAUUUAUUCAGAGAACCUCGAGGUGGUCUGUCAGGGCUUGCAAAGGCUUGUUUAAUUCGCAAUCUUGUUCUACCCAUUGUUGUUUUACAUUCUUUCAAAUCAGAAAAUAUUGGGAGUGGGUUUGAAUAAAAUGAGACGGAAUAGCAAUUGGGAGCAACGGCCUCUGAGUCGGAACCAGUUGGAGUAUGCUGCACUUGAUGCUGCUGUACUUGUUCACAUAUUCCAUCACAUUCAUAAUCAUCCUCAGCCUGCCAGCGUCCCCGAGGGGCAUGACAAAAUUGAGUGGAAAUCCUAUAUUGUUUCUCACAUGGAUAACCCAAAAAAACCAAAAAAAGGGCCUAAAAGUAAGAAGGCUUCAGAAGGGGAGAUCGACCAGCAUUGGCAAAAAAGUUAGCGGUCUUGGCGUAUUUUUCUUGGCUAUCCCAUUUCACAAUAAGUAGGCCUUGUGUACAUAUGCGCAUUCAGUUUAAGAUGUUAGAUUUUUCAAACAAUUUUCUAAAAUCGUAGGACUACUUUAACCUCGUUUUUUUUUUAUAUGUAUAUACUGAGAAAACUAGAGGAAAUGAAACUAAGGCUGUAUAUCUCUUGGAAAAGUGAAUAUUUAGAAAGGUCGUUUUGGAACUUGAA